CCUACGGGAGGCAGCAGUGAGGAAUAUUGGUCAAUGGGCGAGAGCCUGAACCAGCCAAGUCACGUGAGGGAAGACGGUCCUAUGGAUUGUAAACCUCUUUAGGCGGGGAGCAAUGCCGGGCACGCGUGCCCGGAGGGAGAGUACCCGCAGAAUAAGCAUCGGCUAACUCCGUGCCAGCAGCCGCGGUAAUACGGAGGAUGCGAGCGUUAUCCGGAUUUAUUGGGUUUAAAGGGUGCGUAGGCGGAUUUUUAAGUCAGCGGUAAAAUUUCCGGGCUCAACCCGGGCCGGCCGUUGAAACUGGCGGGCUGGAGUUGGAGAGAAGUACGCGGAAUGCGCGGUGUAGCGGUGAAAUGCUUAGAUAUCGCGCAGAACCCCGAUUGCGAAGGCAGCGUACCGGCUCCACACUGACGCUGAGGCACGAAAGCGUGGGUAUCGAACAGGAUUAGAUACCCGGGUAGUC
rnacentral:rRNA from 1 species